UACGAAGGGAGCGAGCGUUGUUCGGAAUCACUGGGCUUAAAGCGUGCGUAGGUGGUUUGGUAAGUAAGGUGUGAAAUCCCAGGGCUUAACCCUGGAACUGCUCUUUAGACUGCCUGUCUGGAAUUCGGAAGAGGUUGGUGGAACUCCGAGUGUAGAGGUGAAAUUCGCAGAUAUUGGGAAGAACACCGGUGGCGAAGGCGACCAACUGGUCCGACAUUGACACUGAGGCACGAAAGCGUGGGUAGCAAACAGG
rnacentral:rRNA from 1 species